AUAUAUAUAUAUAUAUAUAUAUAUAUAUAUAGUUUUUCUCUUGCAACGCCAAAUUUAUGUGGUUCUAUGUGUAUCCAAGAUAUUAAACUUAGUUCUGCAAGUUGGCAGAGUGCUUGAAGCAUGCUUCACCUCCGCCGCGGAUAGGCCCGGCAUUGCACUAUCUCUGGGAUCGGCCUAUGCGUU